CCCGGGUACAACAGCAUAAAUGGCUGCCCACUGCUCCGGAUGGCCCAGAGAAAGUCAUUAUGACACAAACUCCAACAGGUUCAUUUCUUCAGAAAGGCUCUAAUUUUAACCCUUGCAUGCUCAGCCCAGUCUGACCCUCCUGCUCAGCUCCAGUGGAUGUUUAAUGGGACAGAGAUGACUCAGAAGACCAUGCAGUCCCCAGCCAACAUUACCCUCACCAAUUUAGAAGAAAAACACAGUGGAAGCUAUAGCUGUGUGGCCUUCAAUGAUAAGACCAAUCGCUACGUUUCCUCGCAGGUCGCUGUGGUGUCUGUUCUGGGUACUUGGCCAAAGUUUCCGGUGCAGAAUUUGACAGACUUCUGCUUGGGGUGAUCUGUCAGUGUGAAGCAGGCAUGUUCAGAAGUCCCUGAGGUCCAAAUCCAAGUCAAGUAUCAAGUCUUCGUUCUAUUUUUAGCAACAGUUCUUUCACUGUAGCUAAUGAUUGUGUGUAACACUGUAUGAGGAUGAAUCAAUUUUGAAAUAUUAAAAUGGAUUA